rnacentral:rRNA from 1 species
UACGGAGGGAGCUAGCGUUGUUCGGAAUUACUGGGCGUAAAGCGCACGUAGGCGGCUACUCAAGUCAGAGGUGAAAGCCCAGGGCUCAACCUUGGAACUGCCUUUGAAACUGGGUAGCUAGAAUUCUGGAGAGGUCAGUGGAAUUCCGAGUGUAGAGGUGAAAUUCGUAGAUAUUCGGAAGAACACCAGUGGCGAAGGCGACUGACUGGACAGAUAUUGACGCUGAGGUGCGAAAGCGUGGGGAGCAAACAGG